AUUGGAGGAAGGGGUCCCUCAGCCUGGAUUGUGAGAGGUUGCAGGCCAGGCCGAGGGACCCCACGGGUGCACA
rfam:Myotis lucifugus cont2.39504, whole genome shotgun sequence.